ACUUCCCCUAGAGGCACUGCGGGUGUGGCUGCUGUGUCACCUGUGCCUCUAUAGGUGGCAGAGAGGAGAGAGACUAGGUCUACACUCAUCUUCCUGUCCUGUGAAUAUCUGAAUGAUUAGGAGCCUAACACU